rnacentral:rRNA from 1 species
UACGGAGGAUGCAAGCGUUAUCCGGAUUUAUUGGGUUUAAAGGGUGCGUAGGCGGGAAAAUAAGUCAGUGGUGAAAUCCUACAGCUUAACUGUAGAAUUGCCGUUGAUACUGUUUUUCUUGAGUAUGGUCAAGGAAGGCGGAAUGUGUAAUGUAGCGGUGAAAUGCUUAGAUAUUACACAGAACACCAAUUGCGAAGGUAGCUUUCUGGCCCAUUACUGACGCUGAGGCACGAAAGCGUGGGGAUCGAACAGGAUUAGAUACCCGGGUAGUCCCUGA